UGGCAUUUGAUUCUAGUGCCGCCUAAUGCAGUGCAGGAGGUUUAAUACAUGUUAGUCUUUUGGUCAAAAAAAUGACUAUAUUGAAAUAUAGUCAUUUUUUGAAAUCAAGGCGUACGGGUGAGUAAUAGCCAGAGACAUUACUUUGUUUGUAAAUUAUGACAUAGUCCUUACAGAAGAUGCCUGGCUUGGAUUAGGUAGUUGGUGAGGUAACAGCUCACCAAGCCGAGGAUCCAUAGCUACCUUUAAUGAGGGUUUAGCCACAGCGGAACUGAAACAAGGUCCGUCCGAAUCAUUCGGCUUCAGUAGGGAAUCUUUGACAAUGAGCGAAAGCUUGAUCUGUGCCAGCCUGCAAUAAAGAGUUCAAAUAUUCUAAGAACCCGAUAGGGAAGGUUUAUUCCGUAACUUUAAAUACAAAUUGAAAAAUAACACAAAUAAGUUAUACAAGGUAUAACUUCGUAUACAAGUGAUGUUAUCCCUUUUUGUAUAAUGCCUGGGCAAUUCUGUGCCAGCAGCCGCGGUAAUACAGAUAGGCAGAGUGUUAGGCGUAUGGACUAGGCGUAAAUCGUGAGUAGGUGGUCUAUGAAACUGCAUAUUUAUUUCUAAAUUUUGUUAAUCACAUAUAAAUAUGUGCAACACAUUAGUAGAAUCAUAGACUGGAGUUGCAAAGAGGCUCAAGGAAAUGCACAAGUAUUGGUUAAAUAAUAAAAAAUGUGCCUGAACGUCAAUGGCGUAGGCAUUGAGCUAGUUGUAAACUGACGCCAAGUCACGGAAGCGUAGGGAGCGAAACAGAUUAGAUACCUGUGUAGUCUACGCCGUCAACAAUGAAUGGAAACUAUCUUAAAUUUAUGAAUUUUAAGAUAGUAUUAAACGAAAGACCAUUUAGCCUGGGGAGUAACGACGCAAGUCCGAAACUCAAAGUAAUAGACCGUUGGGUAGUACGGCUGUGGAACAUGCGCAUUGAAUGCGAAACAACUCGCAAAACCUUACCACCUCUUGAAUGUAA
rnacentral:rRNA from 1 species